rnacentral:rRNA from 1 species
GUGGGGAAUAUUGGACAAUGGGCGAAAGCCUGAUCCAGCCAUGCCGCGUGUGUGAAGAAGGUCUUCGGAUUGUAAAGCACUUUAAGUUGGGAGGAAGGGCAGUAAGUUAAUACCUUGCUGUUUUGACGUUACCGACAGAAUAAGCACCGGCUAACUUCGUGCCAGCAGCCGCGGUAAUACGAAGGGUGCAAGCGUUAAUCGGAAUUACUGGGCGUAAAGCGCGCGUAGGUGGUUUUGUAAGUUGGAGGUGAAAUCCCCGGGCUCAACCUGGGAACUGCCUCCAAAACUGAAUGACUAGAGUACGGUAGAGGGUAGUGGAAUUUCCUGUGUAGCGGUGAAAUGCGUAGAUAUAGGAAGGAACACCAGUGGCGAAGGCGACUACCUGGACUGAUACUGACACUGAGGUGCGAAAGCGUGGGGAGCAAACAGGAUUAGAAACCCGUGUAGUCC